rnacentral:lncRNA from 1 species
UGAACACAGAAAUUCAAUCUCAAAUAUUUAUCUGCGGUCAGCAUCCUUGCCCCAUUUCACAGAAUGGGAGACAGGUGCAGAGAGUGAAAAGAGCAGCCCAUACCAGCAGCAGGGCUAUGAAGAGAACCUUUUUGCUCCCACCCAGGCUGUGGCCCAUCCUUCUGAGUUGGAGUCACAGCAAAGCCUCCGACUGGAACAGAAACAAAAUCAACUCAGCCUUUCCUCUUUCAGAGGGAGUCAGGGCUAAUAUCCAGCUGCUGGAAGUGAGAGGCCUUUGGAGGAAGAACUCUGAGAAGCAAGGCUCCCAUCUGCUCUUUGUGGACAUUUAAUAUCUCAGGGCGAUUUCUGCAGAGCAAAGUUUAUCCCAGGCUCUGGGCUGGAUGUUUCCUGCCUCACAGGCAUGCAGGGGCUGUGAGCUAUUGGUGUCCCUGGCCAUUACGCUUCCACCCCUGAAGAGACUCGAAUCAGAAGCAGAUCAAGUGGUUUCUGUAUGAUUAUGGCUUAGAAAUGAUGAGCGGCGGUAGAAACAUGAGAUAGGAUCAUCAUCUUUAAUCCUGCACCAGCGCCAGCACAUUGGUCAUUUGCUUGUAUGGAACGUCAGUUUCAGAGGGGGCGAUUCCAUUUAAGAAGGAUGUGGUGCUUUCCCAUCAGGCAGGUGAAAUUGACUUCCGUUGAUGAUAGGAUGCCUGCUGUGGAAAUCCAGGAGCCAGCGUAGCAGAUGCACUUCCGAGGGUCCCGCCAUCUGUAAUUGGCUGAGUCGUCCCAGGAGUCAUGGAUCCCAUGGCAGCCAGAGAGCCCUCCUCCCUUUUGUCUCUUGCUUCUUCUCUUGCCUUGUGAUGCCUGAUCUGCUUCCCCUUCUGUUCAUGGAAGCUUCUGAAGCCCUCACCAGAAGUAGAUGCUGGCGCCAUGCUUCUUGUAUAGUCUGUAAACCUGGAGGUUUGUAAUAAUUUGAUCUACACAGGGUGACACAGGACAGCAACCAUCUGUAUAGCAUUGGGCUAUUAUAUCCAUCAGACUUGAGGAUAAUCUUCUGAGGGCAGGGACAGUGUCCAUUUCUUGCCAUUGAGUUUCCAGUGCUCACAACAAAGAUGCGUCGAUGGGUCGGGCGUGGUGGCUCACGUCUGUGAUCCCAGCACUUUGGGAGGCUGAGGUGGGCGGAUCACAAGGUCAGCAGUUUGAGACCAGCCUGGCCAACAUGGUGAAACCCCAUCUCUUCUAAAAAUACAAAAAAAAAAAAAAAUUAGGCUUGGUGGCACAUGACUGUAGUCCCAGCUACUUGGGAGGCUGAGGCAGAAGAAUCUCUUGAACCCGGGAAGCAGAAGUUGCAGUGAGCUGAGAUCACGCCAUUGCACU